rnacentral:rRNA from 1 species
GACGAACGCUGGCGGCGUGCUUAACACAUGCAAGUCGAACGGAAAGGCCCUGCUUUUGUGGGGUGCUCGAGUGGCGAACGGGUGAGUAACACGUGAGUAACCUGCCCUUGACUUUGGGAUAACUUCAGGAAACUGGGGCUAAUACCGGAUAGGAGCUCCUGCUGCAUGGUGGGGGUUGGAAAGUUUCGGCGGUUGGGGAUGGACUCGCGGCUUAUCAGCUUGUUGGUGGGGUAGUGGCUUACCAAGGCUUUGACGGGUAGCCGGCCUGCGAGGGUGACCGGCCACAUUGGGACUGAGAUACGGCCCAGACUCCUACGGGAGGCAGCAGUGGGGAAUAUUGCACAAUGGGCGGAAGCCUGAUGCAGCAACGCCGCGUGCGGGAUGACGGCCUUCGGGUUGUAAACCGCUUUCGCCUGUGACGAAGCGCGAGUGACGGUAAUGGGUAAAGAAGCACCGGCUAACUACGUG